rnacentral:rRNA from 1 species
AACGAACGCUGGCGGCAGGCCUAACACAUGCAAGUCGAACGCUGUAGCAAUACAGAGUGGCAGACGGGUGAGUAACGCGUGGGAACCUACCCUUUGGUUCGGAAUAGCUCAGGGAAACUUGAGGUAAUACCGGAUAAGCCCUUCGGGGGAAAGAUUUAUCGUCAAAGGAUGGGCCCGCGUCGGAUUAGCCUGUUGGUGGGGUAACGGCCUACCAAGGCGACGAUCCGUAGCUGGUCUGAGAGGAUGAUCAGCCACACUGGGACUGAGACACGGCCCAGACUCCUACGGGAGGCAGCAGUGGGGAGUAUUGGACAAUGGGGGCAACACUGACCCAGCCAUGCCGCGUGAGUGACGAAGGUCUUCGGAUUGUAAAGCUCUUUUGGCGGGGAAGAUAAUGACGGUACCCGCAGAAUAAGCCCCGGCUAACUUCGUGCCAGCCGCCGCCGUAA